AUUGAACGCUGGCGGCAGGCUUAACACAUGCAAGUCGAGCGGGGAAGGGUAGCUUGCUACCUAACCUAGCGGCGGACGGGUGAGUAAUGCUUAGGAAUCUGCCUAUUAGUGGGGGACAACAUUCCGAAAGGAAUGCUAAUACCGCAUACGCCCUACGGGGGAAAGCAGGGGAUCUUCGGACCUUGCGCUAAUAGAUGAGCCUAAGUCGGAUUAGCUAGUUGGUGGGGUAAAGGCCUACCAAGGCGACGAUCUGUAGCGGGUCUGGGAGGAUGAUCCGCCACACUGGGACUGAGACACGGCCCAGACUCCUACGGGAGGCAGCAGUGGGGAAUAUUGGACAAUGGGGGGAACCCUGAUCCAGCCAUGCCGCGUGUGUGAAGAAGGCCUUUUGGUUGUAAAGCACUUUAAGCGAGGAGGAGGCUACCGAGAUUAAUACUCUUGGAUAGUGGACGUUACUCGCAGAAUAAGCACCGGCUAACUCUGUGCCAGCCGCCGCGGUAAAAC
rnacentral:rRNA from 1 species